GCACAAGCGGUGGAGCAUGUGGUUUAAUUCGACGCAACGCGCAGAACCUUACCAGCCCUUGACAUGUCCGGGACCGGUCGCAGAGAUGUGACCUUCUCUUCGGAGCCCGGAACACAGGUGCUGCAUGGCUGUCGUCAGCUCGUGUCGUGAGAUGUUGGGUUAAGUCCCGCAACGAGCGCAACCCCCGUCCUUAGUUGCUACCAUUUAGUUGAGCACUCUAAGGAGACUGCCGGUGAUAAGCCGCGAGGAAGGUGGGGAUGACGUCAAGUCCUCAUGGCCCUUACGGGCUGGGCUACACACGUGCUACAAUGGCGGUGACAAUGGGAUGCGAAGACGCAAGUCCUGGCAAAUCUCAAAAAGCCGUCUCAGUUCGGAUUGGGCUCUGCAACUCGAGCCCAUGAAGUUGGAAUCGCUAGUAAUCGUGGAUCAGCACGCCACGGUGAAUACGUUCCCGGGC
rnacentral:rRNA from 1 species